rnacentral:rRNA from 1 species
AGAGUUGAUCUGGCUCAGAAUCAACGCUGGCGGCGUGCCUAACACAUGCAAGUCGAACGCGAAGGGAAGUCUUCGGACUUCUGGAGAGUGGCGCACGGGUGAGUAACACGUGGGUAAUCUGCCUUUGGGUGGGGAAUAACGAUCCGAAAGGGUCGCUAAUACCGCAUAACGCAGCGGCACCGCAUGGUGACAGUUGUUAAAGGGGGGGAUCGAAAGACCUCUCGCCUGAAGAGGAGCCCGCGCCCGAUUAGCUUGUUGGUGAGGUAACGGCUCACCAAGGCUUCGAUCGGUAGCCGGCCUGAGAGGGCGGUCGGCCACACUGGCACUGAGACACGGGCCAGACUCCUACGGGAGGCAGCAGUGGGGAAUUUUGGGCAAUGGGCGCAAGCCUGACCCAGCAACGCCGCGUGAAGGAUGAAAUCCCUCUGGGAUGUAAACUUCGAAAGUCGGGAAAGAAAUCCUACGGGGGAAUAUCCCGUGGGGAUGACGGUACCCGACGUAAGCCCCGGCUAACUACGUGCCAGCAGCCGCGGUAAUACGUAGGGGGCAAGCGUUGUUCGGAAUUACUGGGCGUAAAGGGCGCGUAGGCGGCAUGGCAAGUCGGGAGCGAAAGCCCGGGGCUCAACCCCGGAACGGCUUUCGAAACUGCCAAGCUAGAGUACGGAAGGGGCAACUGGAAUUCCCAGUGUAGCGGUGAAAUGCGUAGAUAUUGGGAAGAACACCGGAGGCGAAGGCGGGUUGCUGGGCCGAUACUGACGCUGAGGCGCGAAAGCCAGGGGAGCAAACGGGAUUAGAUACCCCGGUAGUCCUGGCCCUAAACGAUGGAUACUUGGUGUGUGGGGUUCUCAAAGUCCCCGCGUGCCGAAGCUAACGCGUUAAGUAUCCCGCCUGGGGAGUACGGUCGCAAGGCUGAAACUCAAAGGAAUUGACGG